rnacentral:rRNA from 1 species
GACGGAGGCUGCAAGCGUUAUCCGGAAUUAUUGGGCGUAAAGCGUCCGUAGGCGGUUUCACAAGUCUGUUGUUAAAGCCCACAGCUCAACUGUGGAUCGGCAAUGGAAACUGUGAGACUAGAGAGUGGUAGGGGUAGAGGGAAUUCCUAGUGUAGCGGUGAAAUGCGUAGAUAUGAGGAAGAACACCAGUGGCGAAGGCGGCUAACUGGCCCAUUCUUGACGCUGAGGAACGAAAGCGUGGGGAGCAAACAGG